GUGGGGAAUAUUGCACAAUGGGGGAAACCCUGAUGCAGCAACGCCGCGUGAGUGAUGACGGUCUUCGGAUUGUAAAGCUCUGUCUUCAGGGACGAUAAUGACGGUACCUGAGGAGGAAGCCACGGCUAACUACGUGCCAGCAGCCGCGGUAAUACGUAGGUGGCAAGCGUUGUCCGGAUUUACUGGGCGUAAAGGGAGCGUAGGUGGAUAUUUAAGUGGGAUGUGAAAUACUCGGGCUUAACCUGGGUGCUGCAUUCCAAACUGGAUAUCUAGGGUGCAGGAGAGGAAAGUAGAAUUCCUAGUGUAGCGGUGAAAUGCGUAGAGAUUAGGAAGAAUACCAGUGGCGAAGGCGACUUUCUGGACUGUAACUGACACUGAGGCUCGAAAGCGUGGGGAGCAAACAGGAUUAGAUACCCCAGUAGUCC
rnacentral:rRNA from 1 species